rnacentral:misc_RNA from 1 species
GGAAGAGUAAAAGCACUGCAAGGGCGCUAUUAUUGCUGACGUGGCAAAAAGGAGAAGCACUGCAACGGCUCAAAUGAGGGAAAAAAUGCACACUUCACAAGGAGGGCAAACAGCACGUUUUAGUAACUUCACCACACAAAAGCCACGUGCUCAUCAAAGUGUGUUUAAUCUCCGAAUGCUCCACUCACCCUCCAAUUACAUUCGCAUUCCAACUCAUCCCUUUGCAUGACAUACAAAAUAUCACCACCUCACACUUGUAAGUCCGCCAAAUAAAACCGAUCAGGGCACAGGGGCAUUUCCGUAAAAUUAAUUCCAAGUUCAAAACGACCAAGCCAAUCCUGAUAGGUGUAUCCACGCAUGGAAGCCAACUCCACACGCGUUAUAAAGACAGGCUCUUUUUGAUGGGUAGGUUGACAGCCUAAAGAUUAUAGAGAGAGAGAGAGAGAG